rnacentral:tRNA from 3 species
GGAGCGAUGGCCGAGCGGUCGAAGGCGCUUCCCUGCUAAGGAAGUAUACUGGUAACGGUAUCCGGGGUUCAAAUCCCCGUCACUCCG